AUAAAUAAGCGGAGGAAAAGAAACCAAACGGGAUUCCCUUAGUAACGGCGAGCGAAAAGGGAAAUGUCCAGCGCCAAGUCUUGACAUGUACAAUGUUCAAGAGAUGCGGCGUUAAUGUAUCGACCCAUCAUGCAUUGUUCCACAUUUCAAGUUCCUACGACCGGGACUUCCAGAGCGGGUGUAAGACCCAUAGAGAUGAGGAACCAGUGUAUGCUGAGCGAUGCAUUCUAGAGUCAGGUUGCUUGAGAGUGCAGCUUAAAGUCGGUGGUAAACUCCAUCCAAGACUAAAUACUACAGCGAGACCGAUAGCAAACAAGUACCGUGAGGGAAAGUUGCAAAGCACUUUGAAGAGAGAGUUCAAAAGUACGUGAAACCACUGGGAGGCAAACAGAUGGAACCACGAAGUGUGCGCUUCGGUCGAUUCAAUCAUCACCUUUGAUCAGUUGUUGUUAAUGCAGGAUCUCUUCGGAGAUUGCUUUUCAACAAUUAUGAUUAAGGGUGUUGGUGCAUUUCGUGCCGAGGAUGCAAAGCCACGUUCAACUAGAGUUGGGACGGCUGUAAGAAAGAAUCCAAGAAAGGUAACCGUCAAGUGCUUGCAUUUGWCGGGGUUAUAAUCUUGGAUUGGCACCGUCACCUAACAUACUGGUUGAUAGAAUUUCUCCAAUUUGGAGUUGAACCAUAUCUGCCUGUGAUUGUUAGUCGAUGUUGCGCAAUGUUCUUUGCGUAUCUUUCGAUGCGAAAAGACUUUGCAAAAAUGUCGGCUAAUGGUUGCUUGCGUGAUAUGGUGGAACUGUGGCGUGAGUAGGUCGGUCUCCAUCUGACCCGUCUUGAAACACGGACCAAGGAGCCUAUCAUAUACGCGAGUCGCUCGGUCUUGUUUAGGCCUGGGAGGCGUAAUGAAAGUAAAGUUACGAGGCUUCGGCUGCAGUAACGGCUCGCCUACUUUGUUUAUUGGCAAUAUGGCGAAGCUGGAGCGUAUACGAUGGUACCCGAAAGAUGGUGAACUAUGCCUGGGCAAGACGAAGCCAGAGGAAACUCUGGUGGAGGUCUGUAGCGAUUCUGACGUGCAAAUCGAUCGUCAGACCUGGGUAUAGGGGCGAAAGACUAAUCGAACCAUCUAGUAGCUGGUUCCCUCCGAAGUUUCCCUCAGGAUAGCAGGCAUUUAUUUAAAUUGCAGUCUCAUCCGGUAAAGCUAAUGAUUAGAGGUCUUGGGGUUGAAACGACCUCAACCUAUUCUCAAACUUUAAAUGGGUGAGAUGGUUGACUUUCUUGAUUGAAGCCAACCAUUUGGAUGCAAAUGCCUAGUGGGCCAUUUUUGGUAAGCAGAACUGGCGCUGUGGGAUGAACCAAACGUCGAGAUAAGGCAUCAAAUGCUUACGCUCAUCAGACCCCAUGAAAGGUGUUGGUUGCUAUAGACAGCAGGACGGUGGCCAUGGAAGUCGGAAUCCGCUAAGGAGUGUGUAACAACUCACCUGCCGAAGCAACUAGCCCUGAAAAUGGACGAUGCUGUAGCGUGGAGCCGAUACUCGACCGUUGUAAUGAUAUUUGAAAUGAGAUAUUGCAACGAGUAGGAGGGCCGCAAUGUUAGCAUUGAAGGUGUCCGGCGUGAGCCGGCCUGGAGCUAUCAUUGUU
rnacentral:rRNA from 1 species